UACGAAGGGGGCUAGCGUUGUUCGGAAUUACUGGGCGUAAAGCGCGCGUAGGCGGUUUUGCAAGCCAGAGGUGAAAUGCCUGAGCUCAACUUAGGAAUUGCCUUUGGGACUGCGAGGCUUUGAGGACUGGAGAGGUGAGUGGAAUUCCCAGUGUAGAGGUGAAAUUCGUAGAUAUUGGGAAGAACACCGGUGGCGAAGGCGGCUCACUGGCCAGUUUCUGACGCUGCAGCGCGAAAACGUGGGGAUCAAACAGG
rnacentral:rRNA from 1 species